rnacentral:rRNA from 1 species
GUGGGGAAUCUUGCGCAAUGGGCGAAAGCCUGACGCAGCCAUGCCGCGUGAAUGAUGAAGGUCUUAGGAUUGUAAAAUUCUUUCACCGGGGACGAUAAUGACGGUACCCGGAGAAGAAGCUCCGGCUAACUUCGUGCCAGCAGCCGCGGUAAUACGAAGGGGGCUAGCGUUGCUCGGAAUUACUGGGCGUAAAGGGCGCGUAGGCGGACAGCUUAGUCAGAGGUGAGAGCCCAGGGCUCAACCUUGGAAUUGCCUUUGAUACUGGCUGUCUUGAGUUUGGGAGAGGUGAGUGGAACUCCGAGUGUAGAGGUGAAAUUCGUAGAUAUUCGGAAGAACACCAGUGGCGAAGGCGACUCACUGGCCCAAUACUGACGCUGAGGCGCGAAAGCGUGGGGAGCAAACAGGAUUAGAAACCCCUGUAGUCC